GGGAUAUGAUGAGUGGUCAUUACUCGCAAGGCAUGCGGGAAGAGUGUCCGCCCCAACGCCUGGUUACGACACUUGGGCACUCCCCUUGUCACCACCUGAUCCC
rfam:Gossypium raimondii chromosome 10, whole genome shotgun sequence.